ensembl:lncRNA
GCGCCCGCUCGCAUUUCCACGCGGCCUGCAGCGUGACCGUGAACGACGCGUGGACCGGGCCUCGCGGAACGGGAAAAGUGCCACUCUGACAACAUAUUCAGCUUCUUCUAUAUCCAGAGGUAGAUAUGCAAGUUAUCACAAUGUCGAUACAAAGAUGGCAAUCUCAGUCCUGAUAUUUAUCAUUUUGAAGACAGCAUCAGUGCGCCAGACUUUGUGCUGUGCAAGCCAGCUACUGUACAUAGGAUGGCAAAGGAGCUAAGAGGCGACACUGAGUCCUUGGUGUGCAAUGUAAUGGAACGAAGCAGACCCCAACCUUCCUGCUGCCAAAAGAAGGCUGGAGUGUCUGAACAAGAAAGCACAGUUAAGGUCAUUCGUGAAGACCAAUCCUGUAAGCCUGUACUGAAAGGUGGCUCCACCGCCCCAGCAGACAGCAACUUGCAGGCACUCCUGCACAGCCAGAAAGAACAGAAGAGGAGACUUCAGAUAAAGAAGUGUUGCAACUCCCUGCGAGACCUGUUGCCAUUUGUAACUGGCCGACUGGAUACCGCCACCAUCCUGGAACUGACCGUGUCCUACGUAACCUACCUCCAGCAGCGAAUGCCGUCAGACAUUUUGGAAAAGGUAGUGAAAGCCCUACAGGACACCAGAACAAGGAGUUGGUUUAAGUCCACCAAAGCUCCUAGAAAACGCAAAAUGAAUAUGCUGAAGGAGAAACCUACAGUUAAACCGGCAACAACCGAGGAGGAUUUUGCUAAUGAAUUCAUUGCUGCCAAUGUUUUGGGGAGGCACAUUCAGCCAAGGAAAGAAAGCACCCUGCUUCCCACUGUACCAGCGUGUCCUUUGCAAGUGGGCCAACCAUUUCCCACACCGCUGGAUCUGAACACAAGUCCUGCCAAAACUGUAAUAUUGCAGCAAAAUCCUCCUCCAUUUGGUCAGUCAGUUGCAUCCCGCCAGAUGUGUACUCCACCUUUUGCUACUGUGAUGAACAGGAAAUUUGCUUCAUCUAUGUUUCCGUACCAGACACCUUUCUGUCCAGUUGGGGAGGCCAGUCACACUAUCACCCCAGAGAUGAGCCUCAAUGUAAACAUCUCCCAAGCAGGGAUAAUUAACUAUUGUGGCCCAAUUCCAAGACAGCCAGUCAUGGUGAACCAGACUGAUUUCCAGCAGAUGGCUUUUGACCAAGUGCAUCCUCUGUCAAGUCCAGUGUUCAUGAAUGAGGACAUUGCUCCAUUAGCAGUUUUGAACCAGAACUUUGCAGAAACAGUGGCCUUGAGAGAAAUGGUCACCCAGCUGCCAUGUUUAGAGGGUGUUGUUGACAGCAGCUCCUUCAAACUUACCAAAACUUGGCCAGAUCUUGUAGUGCCACAGCUCCUCUAUGAGUCUUCUGACUCUUCCCUGCCGAGUUUCACUUCUUUUCUUGAAACAGGCACUGUGAGCCCCUUGCUACAGAUUCAUGACAGUGAGCCCAUGUGCUCCAUGGCUUGGACCACUCCAAACCAGUGGGCUAUCAGCGAAGUUUCACAUGUGUCUCAAACUGCUUUCCACAGUUCCUUACCAUCUGACUUGCCUUACAGUAUUCAGGAACAGACUGGUCAGGUUUCAUGUGUUGGAAUGAGUGAAAUCUGCAACAAAAGGUUAUGAAAUAUUCCAGUUUUUACUGUAUAGCAGAUAUGAAUGAUGUUUUAAAACAGCCUGUAUGUGCUCAGUUCUUUUGUUUUUUAUUUAGAUUUUUCUUUGUUUUAUGCAUGAAUCAAUUAAUCAGACUGGUAAAAUGAACAGAGUUAAAAUCAGAACUGCCUGCAAAGUAAUACUGGGAAAGCACGGGUUAUGUACUGAUGUCUUCAGUAGGUUGAGGUUAUGUUGAUUUCAUGGGAUGAGCAAGACAAACAAGUUUAUUCCAGUCAAUAACAUACAAUAGAAAUUUGUACCCAUUAUGUAUACUGAUCUGUGGUUGAGAGAGAUUAACAAAGUUUGAGGAUGCAGUGGUGAAUAUUUAAAAUUCUUACUACUUGUCUUCUCUCAGGCCUUCAUGAUAAACUAAACAAGGAAGAAGCAAAGACUAUUUCCCGUGAUCACAGCUUACAGAAAGAACAACUCUUCAGUGAGAGCAAAAGUAAUUCCAGCUCGGUUUUCAGUUUCAUAAUAGUUUAAUAUUUUCUGGUCUUACAUUUAAGUGUUAAGUAUGUUAAUCUCAUUUUGUGUAUCACUUCUUUUAUACACUUCUUUAAAGACAGUGCUACACAUUUAUCUCAUAAUGUAUCUAUUUUCUAAAAAAUGAAUAAAUUGGAUGGAAUUUCCUAACA